rnacentral:tRNA from 1 species
GGGGUUGUGACUCAGUGGUAGAGCGCUCACCUAGCAUGUGUGAGGCCCUGGGUUCGAUCCUCAGCACCACA